UCAAGCUGUAAAGGGCGCAAGGGGAAUGCCUUGGCACUGAGAGCCGAUGAAGGACGCGACAAGCUGCGAUAAGCUACGGGGAGCCGCAAAUGGGCUUUGAUCCGUAGAUUUCCGAAUGGGGAAACCCGGCAGAGCAAUACUCUGUCAACGUACACUGAAUACAUAGGUGUACGUGGGGAACCGCCUGAACUGAAACAUCUAAGUAGGGCGAGGAAGAGAAAUCAACCGAGAUUCCGCUAGUAGUGGCGAGCGAACGCGGAAGAGGCCAAACCGAAGGUAGCAAUAUCUUCGGGGUUAGGACUGCAAUAUGUAACUUUAAUCUUUAACUGAAUGCUUUGGGAAGAGCAGCGACACAGGGUGAUAGCCCCGUAAGUGAAAAGGAUUGAGUGCUAGCAGUAUCCAGAGUACCAGCGGACACGUGAAACCCGCUGGGAAGAUGGGGGGACCAUCCUCCAAGCCUAAAUACUACUCAGUGACCGAUAGUGGAGCAGUACCGUGAGGGAAAGGUGAAAAGUACCCCGGGAGGGGAGUGAAAAAGAACCUGAAACCUUGUGCCUACAAGCACCGAGAGUCCGUUAAUGGAUGAUCGGGUACUUUUUGUAGAACGGUCCGGCGAGUUAAUAUUUGCAGCGAGGUUAAGUAACUGGAGUUACGGAGCCGCAGCGAGAGCGAGUCUGAAUAGGGCGUAUGAAGUUGCAGGUAUUAGACCCGAAACCGGGUGACCUAUCCAUGAGCAGGCUGAAGCGGUGGUAAGACACCGUGGAGGGCCGCACCCACGUCUGUUGAAAAAGCCGGGGAUGACUUGUGGAUAGCGGAGAAAUUCCAAUCGAACUCGGAGAUAGCUGGUUCUCCCCGAAAUAGCUUUAGGGCUAGCGUUAUUUUAGAUUACCGGAGGUAAAGCACUGAAUGGUCUAGGGGCCGCGAGGUUACCAAAGCCUAUCAAACUCUGAAUGCCGGAUAAUUGAUGAAUAGCAGUCAGACUGUGUGAGAUAAGUCUCAUAGUCAAAAGGGAAACAGCCCAGAUCUACAGCUAAGGUCCCAAAUGAACACUAAGUGGAAAAUGAUGUGAAACUGCGAAGACAACCAGGAUGUUGGCUUAGAAGCAGCCACUCAUUCAAAGAGUGCGUAAUAGCUCACUGGUCGAGUGGUUUUGCGCAGAAAAUGUAACGGGGCUAAGUGUUCAACCGAAGCUUAGGCAUUGCAGUAAUGCAUUGGGUAGGGGAGCGUCGUAUGCGGGGCGAAGUCAGAGCGGAAGCACUGGUGGACUGCAUACGAGUGAGAAUGCCGGAAUAAGUAGCGAGAAUUAUGUGAGAAUCAUAAUGGCCGAAAAUCUAAGGUUUCCUGGGGAAGGUUCGUCCGCCCAGGGUUAGUCGGGAGCUAAGCUCAGGCCGAAAGGCGUAGGCGAUGCACAUACGGUAGAAAUUCCGUAACCACCGAACUUUAAGCUAGAGGGACGCUUUCUUUAAGGUUAUCCCGGGCGAUGGUUGCCCCGGGCGUAAGGGACCGAAAUUUAGUAGGGAAGUAACUGGCGAGAGAGACGAGAAAAGCUCUAGUGUAUACUAAGGUGCCCGUACCGCAAACCGACACAGGUAGAAGGGAUGAGUAUUCUAAGGCCAACGGGAGAAGGGUUGUUAAGGAACUCGGCAAAUUGGCCCCGUAACUUCGGGAUAAGGGGCGCCUGCGAGAGCAGGCCGCAGUGAAAAGGCCCAAGCGACUGUUUAGCAAAAACACAGCUCUCUGCUAAAUCGAAAGAUGACGUAUAGGGGGUGACGCCUGCCCGGUGCUGGAAGGUUAAGGGGAGUGCUUAGCGCAAGCGAAGGUGCGAACUUAAGCCCCAGUAAACGGCGGCCGUAACUAUAACGGUCCUAAGGUAGCGAAAUUCCUUGUCAGGUAAGUUCUGACCCGC
rnacentral:rRNA from 1 species